AGCAUUAUACCGUGAAACUGCGAAUGGCUCAUUAAAUCAGUUAUCGUUUAUUUGAUAGUACCUUACUACUUGGAUAACCGUGGUAAUUCUAGAGCUAAUACAUGCUGAAAACCCCGACUUCGGAAGGGGUGUAUUUAUUAGAUAAAAAACCAAUGCCCUUCGGGGCUCUUUGGUGAUUCAUGAUAACUUCUCAGAUCGCAUGGCCUUGCGCCGGCGACGGUUCAUUCAAAUUUCUGCCCUAUCAACUUUCGAUGGUAAGGUAUUGGCUUACCAUGGUUUCAACGGGUAACGGGGAAUUAUGGGUUCGAUUCCGGAGAGGGAGCCUGAGAAACGGCUACCACAUCCAAGGAAGGCAGCAGGCGCGCAAAUUACACAAUCGCAACACGCGGAUGUAGCGACAAUAAAUACUGAUACAGGGCUCUUUUGGGUCUUGUAAUUGGAAUGAGUACAAUUUAAACCUCUUAACGAGGAACAAUUGGAGGGCAAGUCUGGUGCCAGCAGCCGCGGUAAUUCCAGCUCCAAUAGCGUAUAUUAAAGUUGUUGCAGUUAAAAAGCUCGUAGUUGAACCUUUGGCCUGGCUGGCAGGUCCGCCUCACCGCGUGCACUUGUCCGGCCGGGCCUUUUCUUCUGGAGAACCGCAUGCCCUUCACUGGGUGUGUUGGGGACCAGGACUUUUACUUUGAAAAAAUUAGAGUGUUCAAAGCAGGCCUUUGCUCGAAUACGUUAGCAUGGAAUAAUAGAAUAGGACGUGCGGUCCUAUUUUGUUGGUUUCUAGGACCGCCGUAAUGAUUAAUAGGGCCAGUCGGGGGCAUUAGUAUUCAGUAGUCAGAGGUGAAAUUCUUGGAUUUACUGAAGACUAACUACUGCGAAAGCAUUUGCCAAGGAUGUUUUCAUUAAUCAGUGAACGAAAGUUAGGGGAUCGAAGACGAUCAGAUACCGUCGUAGUCUUAACCAUAAACUAUGCCGACUAGGGAUCGGGCGGUGUUAUUAUUUUGACUCGCUCGGCACCUUACGAGAAAUCAAAGUGUU
rnacentral:rRNA from 1 species